UACGGGGACAACCGGGGAAAUUCNAGAGCNAAUACAUGCCUGCAAACCCAACCCCGGGAAGGGUUGUGCGUAUUAGAAACUGGACUAACCCGCUCCGGCGGUCGCACGUUGAUUCAUAAUACUCCAGCAAAUCGCGUUGGCGAUGAAUCAUUCAAGUUUCNGACCUAUCCGCUUUCGAUGGNAGGGUAUUGGNCUACCAUGGCUNUGACGGGGAACGGANAAAUUANGGNUCAAUUCCGGAGAGGGAGCCCGAGAAACGGCUACCACAUCUCACGAAGGCAGCAGGNGCGUAAAUUACCCAAUCCUGAUACAGGGAGGUAGUGACGAGAAAUACCAAUACNAAGCAUCUUUGCNCUGUAAUUGGAAUGAGAACAAUCUAAACCUAUUAACAAGUAUCCAUU
rnacentral:rRNA from 1 species